CCGAGUUGGCCCAAAAAAAUGAAAAGAAAAAUUUAGGCCCAAGGUGAGAGGGUGGCCGGCCAUACCUGGUCCAAGCCCACCAAAUUAAUUAAUUUCCAUGUGACAAAUUAAUUAUAAAGGGAUCAUUAUCCCUUAGAUGAUUCAAGAAACUUAGAAGGAGAAAGAACAAACAAAACAAGAGCAAAAAAAAGGACCAUUUCGGGUUUGGCCAUAGAAAAUUCAACCCUCCAAAUCUUGCUUCAAAAAUUAUUUUCUUGUGGUAUUCCUACUAAUUCAAGGGUCCUUUACAACUUGGUGUAGUUGUUUUGGAAGAAGGAACACUUAUUUCUUCAAGUUGACAACUUGUUCAAGUGAAGAAGUUUGUAGAAAAAGAUUUCGGGCGAAACGGGAAUUGAAUUCGAAAAGGCGUAAAGACCAUAUAAGGUACAGACGACAGGUUCGCUGAUCCAUCUGUUUAGGAUCCCACUUCUGCUAUUUUGGGGCGCUCUCUUCUUCAGAGCCCACUUUUUGGUACAGUCUGUCACUGCUAUCUGGAUAUGUAUAUUGUUCUGGGUAUGACGGGGCCCUGUCCCGUCUUAUGAUUAUGUUAUGUUCUGUAGAGGUCUGUGGAUAUAUCUGUAUGGGUUCUGUACAUAUGUUUGGGAUACUUUGUCCUAUGAUGGCCUUAUCGGCCUAUGUGUGCCAAGUCUGCUUUUUAU